UGGGGAAUAUUGCACAAUGGGCGCAAGCCUGAUGCAGCCAUGCCGCGUGUGUGAAGAAGGCCUCGGGUUGUAAAGCACUUUCAGCGAGGAGGAAGGUGGUGAACUUAAUACGUUCAUCAAUUGACGUUACUCGCAGAAGAAGCACCGGCUAACUCCGUGCCAGCAGCCGCGGUAAUACGGAGGGUGCAAGCGUUAAUCGGAAUUACUGGGCGUAAAGCGCACGCAGGCGGUUUGUUAAGUCAGNUGUGAAAUCCCCGGGCUCAACCUGGGAACUGCAUUUGAAACUGGCAAGCUAGAGUCUCGUAGAGGGGGGCUAGAAUUCCAGGUGUAGCGGUGAAUGCGUAGAGAUCUGGAGGAAUACCGGUGGCGAAGGCGGCCCCCCUGGA
rnacentral:rRNA from 1 species